rnacentral:other from 1 species
GGUCUCGUCAGCAAUCAAACUCUCAAUUAUCAAUGAAAACCUCGAGAUCUG